rnacentral:rRNA from 1 species
UACGUAGGGUGCAAGCGUUAAUCGGAAUUACUGGGCGUAAAGCGUGCGCAGGCGGUGAUGUAAGACAGGUGUGAAAUCCCCGGGCUUAACCUGGGAACUGCAUUUGUGACUGCAUCGCUGGAGUGCGGCAGAGGGGGAUGGAAUUCCGCGUGUAGCAGUGAAAUGCGUAGAUAUGCGGAGGAACACCGAUGGCGAGGGCAAUCCCCUGGGCCUGCACUGACGCUCAUGCACGAAAGCGUGGGGAGCAAACAGG